CAAGGAGAAGAAAGUCUAUAUGAACACACAGCAAGAAGGCUACCAUCUGCAGGCCAGGAAGAGGGCCUUCAAUAGGAACUGAAUUAACCAGUACCAUGAUUUUGGAUGUCCUAUCCGCCAGAACUGUGAGGAAUACAUUUCUAUUCUCUAAGCCAUUGUGUAUAUGGUAUUUUACUAUGGAAACCUGAGCUAAGACAUAGGCUAACUCAGAGAUUACAACAAUGGGAAGGCACUACUCUCCCUAGGAUAGAAGGACAAAUUGAGAAGGCAGUGUUAUUAGCACCCAGGGUCUGAAGGCAUCUGAAGGAGGCUGGAACCAUGACAGCCUGUCCUUUGGGAGCUGGGAGGACAGAGAAGAUGCAGCCUGGUCAAGAGAGAAAUGGGGAGAAACACCCUGACCUUUUCUCUCCCUCCUGUUCUCUAAUCUUCCAUUAGGGCCUCCCACCAGCAGAAUAAUGUGAAACAGCUGUUAUUUGGCAAGAGAAACUUCAGGGCUGUGGACUUUGUGACAGGGGGGCAGAACAGGAAGGGGAGGGAUGGAUGUGAGGGCAUAUAUAUCCAGGAAUGCAGAAGAUGCUUUGUUUAGCUGACACAGUGUCUUUGAAAAUCUCUGCUGUCUUGCCCGUGGAUGGGGCAUGUUCUUGCAGGUUAGGCUUGGCACAGUGUCAGCCCAAGCUGUUCCAUAGCUGCUUUAACCCCUGCUUUAACGGAUAGGUGAUGGAAGGCAGGUAAAGGUGUUUUAAAAGUAGAGACAGUAUGGGAAAGGCAUGAGGGCUAAAAUAGAAUGCCACAGAUGGCAAUUUCUAUACCUUUUUUUUUAAGCUAGCCUGGGCCUCCAAAGUUGUAAUUUCUAAAAGAAAUAGCUCUUGACUCUUAAUAUUCCAUAGUGAAAUCCAGAGCAUGACAGGUUUCAAAUUGUGUCUGUGAGCAUCUUCUAUUUGAAAAGCUAUUUCAUGUGCAUCUGGAGUCAACUAAAUAAGGCAAUAUGAUGUUCACAUGGGCUCAGCCUCAUUCUUUGUAAAUCAUUACAGCUGUGUAAGGGGCGGGCCCAUACAUAAUGACCCUUGGUCCUGUGUCUGUAAGCCUGACCCAGCCAGCCAGCGUCCGUCUCUCUGCGCCAACUGCAGAGAACUCAGCAGAUAUUUAACAACAGAGAGGGAAUGAGGAUGUUUGAGAACUUUAACCAAGGCCAGGAUAAAGGACAAGGUUAGUCAAUAUGGUGGGAAUGGGCUGGUGAGGUCCAGACUAUAGGCUUCAGAGGCUUCCUGCCUGUCUGACUGCAGUUCAGCCUGUUACUGUGCCCUGCAUACAAAGGGGGGCUAGUGUGGGGCUGUGUCUGCCUGGAGAGGAGGGGAGCACCUCAUUAUACGCUAGACAAGGUGCUGGAUGGUGGCUCCUACAGCACCCAGACUGUGGAGAGCAUGUCUUUAUUUCGAAGCCCUCUCAUUAAAGUCAAUGUGUCCCAUUCAAACCUUUCCAAAUGUGGAGAUAAGUAGGGGUUUAUGCUGCAGACUAGACCCAUCCUAACCUUUCUCACCAGGUGGUUUCUGUGCUCCAUUUGCACAUCCUAUUUUGGUCUCCCAUGCUCCCAUUCAGUUUUGCUCAUUUGUCUUUAUUGGUUUGGAAUAGUCUUUGGCUUUAGGGUGACUUUGCCCUGAGGAGAGCAGGGUACAGUGACAAUUCGUUCUAACCAGCCUUGAUUGCAGGAGCCAUGGACAUAGGCAUUUCCAGGGCAGGGUGGUCCCUGGAGCAGGCUAAGCAGGCAAGGAAGGGGUGGCCACCCACCCAGCCCAUCCAAAGGGGGAAUGCUCAGCCUGAAUGGAUUACAGGCCAUGGGUGCUCAGGCCCUGUGUUUCUGGCUUUGGUAUAUUUCAAGAAAGUUUGGAGACCUCUGUGCAAAUUUUCAAGUAUGGGAAAUUAAUUCUAAAAGUUUUAAAACAAUGUGUCAGUUAUAGAAUCCACUUCUGUGGUCAAAAUAUAGCCCAGGGGCCAACAGUUUGCUAUCUUUGACUUGCGGAGCAUUGGUCUGUUCCAGGAUUGGACUGUGGGCAGCAACAAGGUGAGUGAGAUGGUGUUGCUGUCCUGAAGGGGCUUCAGGGUUGGGGAUAUAACUGGAAAACCUAAGACAUGCUGUAGAGAGAUUCCAGGAAAUACUGCAGGUGCCCUAACAGAAGAGAUUUUAUGAAAAUAAUCUUUAAGUGGUUUUUACGUGAAAUAGUAAUUCCACCUAAAAAUCACUGAACUUUAAAAUAGAGGAAGCCCCCCUCUUCUGUUUUUAGGGUCCAUGGUAUGCAACAGGCUUAAAGGUGAGGUUACUUUAGUAAUGAGUCCUUUUAGGACUUCACUAAACAAAUCCCCUGAGGCGGAGCUCCUGUCCUGGCUCAGUGGUUAACAAAUCUGACUGUGAACCCUGAGGUUGCGGGUUCAAUCUCUGACCUCGCUCAGUGGGUUAAGGAUCCAGCGUUGCUGUGAGCUGUGGUGUAGGUCUCAGAUGCAGCUCAGAUCCCGCGUUGCUAUGACUCUGGCAUAGGCUGGCAGCUACACCUCUAAUUAGACCCCUAGUCUGGGAACCUCCAUAUGUGGUGGGUGUGACCCCAGAAAUGACAAAAAGACAAAACAAAAAGCAAAUAUACAAAUCCCCUGAGGGAAGGGGUUUAAACUUUGCUGAUUUCCACUCAGGAGUGUUACAGUGAAAUUCCUGUGUAAAUAGUGAAAUAGGAUUUCAAAAGAUUGCUUUUUAUCUAGGCAGGAUGAUUGAUGAGAGGUAAUCCUUUGAGAUGUGUCCGCAUGCUCAGCAGCCCAGCUGUUCUAGAACUUCCCAAAUGUGGAGCUUGGCAGGUUGUAGCAAAGCCAGACCUGAGGAGACAUCUGAGGUAGGGCUCUGCUUGGGGGCAGAUCCAGCUGACAGAGACUCCAGUCAGCAGGACAUCUGAGUCAGGAUCUGGUGAUUAUCUCAUUAUCCCUGGAGCCCCCAUGGCCCUGGGCGCCCACCUCUUCCGAGGCUCUUCACAGGCUAUAUUACAAUCAGCUGUGCUUUCCUUCUAGUAGGACCCAAGCAUUUUGGGGCAUGGUCAAUAUCUUUAUAUGCUUGUGCUUAAUGGAAGGCUGGUAUGAAGAGGCAUUGAAUGUCAGUUAAAUGGAUGAGUAAGUGAUAAUGGAACAAAAACCUAGCCAGGUUUACAGCAUCUGGGAGAUUCAGCAAGAGGUGCCAAUUGGCAGGUGGGUGGGGCACCAUGAUGGGCAGUUUUGAGUUGCAGGUGUCUGGAGACCCCAGCCUGUGAGUAGAGGCUGAAGUCAAGAGCAGUCCCUAGCUUUGGGGCAAGGGUGGAUCACCAAAGUAGGACUCAGUAGGAGAUGGCACAACCUGGAUUCCAGGUCAUAGGACUGAGGAACAGAAUACAGCUUCAGGACAACAGCGAGCCAGGGCUAAGAAUGUGUGUGCUGACAUCUAAGACCUUCAAGUUCAAAUCUCGGUUCUACCUUUUCCUGAGUAAUUGUGUAAUAGACUUGACUUUGCUGUGCCUCAGUGUCUUCAUCUCUUAAGGGGGUUAUAAUUGUUAGGAAGAUAAAAUUAGUUGUAUGUGAAGCAGUUAGGUUAGGACCUGUCAGCGAAUUAUUAAUAAAAACAGAGAUAGGGCUUGAUUAGUAGCAGCAUAGUAGAUGCUGAGAAUCAGUCUCAGGUAUUUUGAAAACUGUACCUCUCUUUACCCUCAUUUCAACUGGGGUAUUGAGAAUACAUACUACGGCAUGAUUAGUAACAGGAUACUUGAUGCUGAGAACUGGGAGUUGGGGGAUCUAUCUCAGGUAUUUUGAAAACCUUAUCAUUCUUUACCCACACCCCAACCAGGGUAUUGAGAAUACACACUAUAUUUCAAAGGCUUUCUAGAAAUUCUGAUAACUCCCUCUCCAUGCACUCUUCUUCAGAUAACUUGCAUUUUUAUUUCUUUGAAUCAUUCCCCCGAAAUUCCCUAAUACCGUGUUAGGGGAUUUUCCAGGAUGUGAAGACAAAAUAUCCCCAGAUGGUGGUUACUAAAACGAUAUUGGGGCAGGUAGGAUUGAUGCAUCCAUGAAUCAUAGCACAUGCAGUGCCUGGGGCCCAUGAUGCUUAGGGAUUCACAAAAGUGUUUUAAAUUCUUUCACAAUGAGAAAAAGAAAAAUGAACUUUCAGGUUGGGAAAAAUGUUUUCAUACAUAAUAUUAAGUUAAUAUAAUCAUAUUUGUGCUGAUAUAGUCAUAAAAUAUUAAGUAUAUUUUAUGAAGGAAGUGGUCUAUAAAAGCAAGUGAGUCAAAUAUUAAAGAGCCAUUAAAGAGAAUGAAAUAAUGCUAUUUGCAGCAACAUGGUUGGACCUAGAGAUGAUCAUAUUGAGUGAAGUCAAAGACAAAUAUCAUAUGAUAUCACUUAUUUGUUGAAUCUUAAAAAUGAUAUAAUUUCAGAAGUUCCCAUUGUGGCGCAGUGGCAGUGAACCUCACUAGCAUCCAUGAGGAUGUGGGUUUGAUCCCUGGUCUCACACAGUGGGUUAAGGAUCCAGCGUUGCUCUGAGCUGUGGUAUGGGCUAGCAGCUGCAGCUCUGAUUAUACCCCAAGCCUGGGAACUUUCAUAUGGUGCAGGUGAGGCCCUAAAAACAAAUGUGUGUGUGUGUGUGUGUGUGUGUGUGUGUGUGUGUAUGAUUUAACUCAUUUACAAAAAAAAAAAAAAACUCAGACAUAGAAAACAAUCUGGGGGAAGGGGAGGGAGUGGAAGGGACUGGGAACUUGGGGUAAAUAGAUACAGAAUGUUGCCUCAGGGAUGGAUUAGCAAUGGGAUCCUGCUGUGUAGCACUGGGAACUCUGUCUAGUCACUUAUGAUGGAACACAUAAUGUGAGAAAAAAGAAUGUAUACAUGUAAGUGUAAUGGGUCACCAUGCUGUACAGUAGAAAAAAAUAUGUAUAUAUAAAUAAAUUUUAAAAAGAGUCAG
rnacentral:lncRNA from 1 species